rnacentral:misc_RNA from 1 species
CGCAUCUUGCACUCUUGGGUUAUUCCUGAGAGUAUGCUUGUUUGAGUGUCACGAAACCCUCUCAACCCCGCCUUGUUUUAUUACAAGGUUGUUUGGGCUUGGAUCAUGAUAGUAUGUCGGUUUGAUUAAGUUCAAUCGACUCUGUUGAAAUACAACAGGCUGAAUUAACAUACUUGCGGCUUGACCUAUUGUUGUAAGAUUUUGAAAUCAUCUCAAUGGGAACGCAUAGAAAGUUAAAGGAGUCUCAUUAAAACCCCUUAUUUCAAUUUCCGACCUCAAAUCAAGUAGGACUACCCGCUGAACUUAA